UACAGAGGUCUCAAGCGUUUGUUCGGAUUCAUUGGGCGUAAAGGGUGCGUAGGCGGCGUGGUAAGUCGGGUGUGAAAUCUCGGAGCUUAACUCCGAAACUGCAUUCGAUACUGCCGUGCUUGAGGACUGGAGAGGAGACUGGAAUUUACGGUGUAGCGGUGAAAUGCGUAGAUAUCGUAAGGAACACCAGUGGCGAAGGCGGCUUACUGGUCCAUUACUGACGCUGAGGUGCGAAAGCGUGGGGAGCAAACAGG
rnacentral:rRNA from 1 species